ACGAAAGCAUGUGGGAACUGGAGGUGGAAGACUUACACAGGAACAUCCCUUAGAGCUGGGACCCUCUAAGAAGAGCUCCCCCUAAAGGAAUCUACGCCCAGCUGGGUCUCAGGAACAGCAUGAAAGUUUCUUGAAGACAUUUGCUUUGGUUGAGUCAGACGUCUGGACCCUGGGAGCUGGAGCUUCAGUUGUCUCAGCCACCACUCCCUGCCCGUGCUUUGCUUGCAUGAGAAGCAGAUGUCCCCCCCUUUGUCCCUAACGUGUGUUCCUUUCUCUCGCUGAAGCACAUGGAAAAUUCCUGUCGUCAUUUCCUGAUUCUGCGAGGGAUGACACUUUCUCCUUGACUGCACCUCUGAAUUUCAGUCGUUGCCAGUGGGUUAAAAUUAUGGACAUAAGGACAGAAUGGCAUGGUGGCCUGCCUUCCAUCACCAGCCAUUGCCAUCUUGUAGGGCAGGUGCCAACCUCUUGCUGACAGCUUUCUCUCUCUGCUUCGAUGUGCUUUUUCCUCAUUGUCUGUGUCCUUAGACUCUGAAGCUGAGGCCACCUGUUGAGAAUGGUCAGAAUCCUCACAAUGCUCCGUUGAACUUAAAAAUCCAAGAUGGAGACAGACUUUUCAAACACUUCUCCUUCAAAACUAUUGUGGAGAGACAGCCAGGGUGGGACUAGUCUGCAGGCUUAGAGUCCUGACCUCCUUUCUGUAUGAAAUGCCUUUCUAUUGGGAUUGUGUCAGUGUUGGGUUUGACUUUCUGCUGAUGACCCAGGCUAGGUUCAUAUUUGGAUGACAAAAACCAAGCAGCCCACCUUACUACAGUAUGGCAGAAUUUUUCUAGUAACAUUUCUGCAUGGUGUGUUUUUAAAAGUAAGCUCUAUUAUCUGUCUGUCCUAAAGACAGGGCCUUCAGGUGUCUCCCGCUCGUGACCCUCUCCCCUCCACUCCAGACUGUUGAGAUUACUGGUGUGCACUACUAUGUCUGCAGUGCUGGGGAUGGAACCCAGGGCUUCCUGCAGGCUAAGCAAACACUAUUACUGAGCCACGUUUCCAGCAUAAAAUGUUGAUUUAUU
rnacentral:lncRNA from 1 species